GCGUUCAUAGCUCAGCUGGAUAGAGCGUUGGUCUACGGAACCAAAGGUCUGGGGUUCGAAUCCCUAUGGACGCACCA
rnacentral:tRNA from 1 species